rnacentral:rRNA from 1 species
UACGUAGGGGGCUAGCGUUGUCCGGAAUCAUUGGGCGUAAAGAGCGUGUAGGCGGCCUGGUAAGUCCGCUGUAAAAGUCAAAGGCUCAACCUUUGAAUGUCAGUGGAUACUGCCGGGCUAGAGUCCGGAAGAGGCGAGUGGAACUCCUGGUGUAGCGGUGGAAUGCGCAGAUAUCAGGAAGAACACCAACGGCGAAGGCAGCUCGCUGGGACGGUACUGACGCUGAGACGCGAAAGCGUGGGGAGCGAACAGG